GAUGAACGCUGGCGGCGUGCCUAAUACAUGCAAGUCGAGCGAACAGACGAGGAGCUUGCUCCUCUGACGUUAGCGGCGGACGGGUGAGUAACACGUGGAUAACCUACCUAUAAGACUGGGAUAACUUCGGGAAACCGGAGCUAAUACCGGAUAAUAUAUUGAACCGCAUGGUUCAUUAGUGAAAGACGGUUUUGCUGUCACUUAUAGAUGGAUCCGCGCCGCAUUAGCUAGUUGGUAAGGUAACGGCUUACCAAGGCAACGAUGCGUAGCCGACCUGAGGGGGUGAUCGACCACACUGGAGCUGAUGCACGGUCCAGACGACUACGAGAGGCAGCAGUAGGGAAUCUUCCGCAAUGGGCGAAAGCCUGACGGAGCAACGCCGCGGGAGUGAUGAAGGUCUUCGGAUCGUAGAACUCUGUUAUUGGGAGAGAACAAAUGUGUAAGUAACUAUGCACGUCUUGACGGUACCUAAACAGAAAGCCACGGCUAACUACGUG
rnacentral:rRNA from 1 species